rnacentral:rRNA from 1 species
UUCGACGCAACGCGCAGAACCUUACCUGGGCUUGACAUCCCGAUCGCACUUUCUGGAAACAGAGAGGUCAGUUCGGCUGGAUCGGUGACAGGUGCUGCAUGGCUGUCGUCAGCUCGUGUCGUGAGAUGUUGGGUUAAGUCCCGCAACGAGCGCAACCCUCGUCCUUAGUUGCCAGCAUUAAGUUGGGCACUCUAAGGAGACUGCCGGUGUUAAACCGGAGGAAGGCGGGGAUGGCGUCAAGUCCUCAUGGCCCUUAUGUCCAGGGCUACACACGUGCUACAAUGGCCGGUACAAAGGGUAGCAAGACCGCGAGGUGGAGCCAAUCCCAAAAAGCCGGUCUCAGUUCGGAUUGGAGUCUGCAACUCGACUCCAUGAAGUUGGAAUCGCUAGUAAUCGUGGAUCAGCAUGCCACGGUGAAUACGUUCCCGGGCCUU